ensembl:rRNA 5S_rRNA 5S ribosomal RNA
GCUUACAGGCCAUACCAGCCCAAGAACGCCCGGUCUCUUCUGAUCUCGGAAGCUAAGAAGGCUUGGGCCUGGUUAGUACUAGGAUGGGAGACCUCCUGGGAAUACCAGGUGCUGUAAGCU